rnacentral:rRNA from 1 species
GACGUAGGGCGCGAGCGUUGUCCGGAUUUAUUGGGCGUAAAGAGCUCGUAGGCGGCUCGUUGCGUCGGCUGUGAAAACCCGCAGCUCAACUGUGGGCUUGCAGCCGAUACGGGCGGGCUGGAGUUCGGUAGGGGAGACUGGAAUUCCUGGUGUAGCGGUGGAAUGCGCAGAUAUCAGGAGGAACACCGGUGGCGAAGGCGGGUCUCUGGGCAGUAACUGACGCUGAGGAGCGAAAGCGUGGGGAGCGAACAGG